CAGGGUACUUUCUCGCCAUAACUCUUUUCACAUCUCUGCUAGACUUUGUCUUAGGCACGUCGUUUGGAGUUUCUUAGCAUUUGCUUUGUUCGUGAUUUCUACGUUGCUGAAUUAUUUAUAUACCUAUAAACCAGUACAUAGGAUGUUGCAUCGAGGAUAUCCACGAGGGUGACCGGUAUAGGAGGCAGCCACUCAAAGGCUUACAGGAAUUUCGUUGGUGAAACGUCAGACAACCAGCAACAGUCAGGUGCAGUCCGCAUGUCGAAUUGCCCGGAAUUCGUCCUGGACGUCGUCGUCGAGAUCGCAGACGCUGCAGUCAUAGACUAGGAGGGGACGCCGGCAACGCACUUUACUGCACGCAACACGUUGCUCAGGGAGCACGGCCAUGCGGAGAUCGUUCCAGCGUACCGUCAGCGGCUUGACGGUGGCGGCGACGGAGGAGGAGCGUUAGCGACUCCACCCUCGACGAAGGUCACCUCGUCUGGCUAGAGAGCAGCGUCGAGACAACAAUCGAGCCAAAUAGGCCCGGGGGAGGUCGGCCCGGAUGCGCAGACCGGAUUGCCGCACAGCCUCAAGUAAGUGAAGCCAGGGAUGUGUUGGUAAUGCUAAGAUUUUUGUGUAAUUGACAGCUGAAUUAAAAAAAAGUAAUACAGUAUUUUAUAGCAAAAUAGCUCAUCAAUGAACGAAAGCAAUAUUCCAUUUUACCAAUCACAAAUGAAAUAUCCAAUGGUACUAUUGUAGUAAAUUGGGAAGCAAAAAAUAAAAGGUCCACGUUUUCAAACUAGGGGGACACACUCGCUAAAAAUGUUCUCAAGGGGGAGGGGGCACGGGCUGGAUGUGCCCCCCCCCCCCGAUCCGCCAU